AUUAUAAUUUAUUAGUGGCAGAGCAUCUGUCUUGCAUGCAGAAGGUCCAGGUUCAAUCCCUGGCUUCUCCA